UACGGAGGGGGACUAGCGUUGUUCGGAAUUACUGGCGUAAAGCGCACGUAGGCGGAUUUGUAAGUCAGGGGUGAAAUCCCGGGGCUCAACCUCGGAACUGCCUUUGAUACUGCAAAGUCUCGAGUCCGGAAGAGGUGAGUGGAAUUCCUAGUGUAGAGGUGAAAUUCGUAGAUAUUAGGAAGAACACCAGUGGCGAAGGCGGCUCACUGGUCCGGUACUGACGCUGAGGUGCGAAAGCGUGGGGAGCAAACAGG
rnacentral:rRNA from 1 species